rnacentral:rRNA from 1 species
GACGAACGCUGGCGGCGUGCUUAACACAUGCAAGUCGUACGGAGUGGCGAACGGGUGAGUAACACGUGAGUAACCUGCCCACAACUUUGGGAUAACGCUAGGAAACUGGUGCUAAUACUGGAUAGUUGUGGAUGGACUCGCGGCCUAUCAGCUUGUUGGUGGGGUAGUGGCCUACCAAGGCGGCGACGGGUAGCCGGCCUGAGCGGGUGACCGGCCACAUUGGGACUGAGAUACGGCCCAGACUCCUACGGGAGGCAGCAGUGGGGAAUAUUGCACAAGGGGCGCAAGCCUGAUGCAGCAACGCCGCGUGCGGGAUGACGGCCUUCGGGUUGUAAACCGCUUUCAGCAGGGACGCGGUACCUGCAGAAGAAGCACCGGCUAACUACGUGCCAGCAGCCGCGGUAAUUC